UCGGAAUUACUGGGCGUAAAGCGUGCGCAGGCGGUUUUGUAAGACAGUGGUGAAAUCCCCGGGCUCAACCUGGGAACUGCCAUUGUGACUGCAAGGCUGGAGUGCGGCAGAGGGGGAUGGAAUUCCGCGUGUAGCAGUGAAAUGCGUAGAUAUGCGGAGGAACACCGAUGGCGAAGGCAAUCCCCUGGGCCUGCACUGACGCUCAUGCACGAAAGCGUGGGGAGCAAACAGGAUUAGAUACCCCGGUAGUCCACGCCCUAAACGAUGUCAACUGGUUGUUGGGAAUUUAUUUUCUCAGUAACGAAGCUAACGCGUGAAGUUGACCGCCUGGGGAGUACGGCCGCAAGGUUAAAACUCAAAGGAAUUGACGGGGACCCGCACAAGCGGUGGAUGAUGUUCUUUAAUUCGAUGCAACGCGAAAAACCUUACCCACCUUUGACAUGUAUGGAAUCCUUUAGAGAUGAAGGAGUGCUCGAAAGAGAGCCAUAACACAGGUGCUGCAUGGCUGUCGUCAGCUCGUGUCGUGAGAUGUUGGGUUAAGUCCCGCAACGAGCGCAACCCUUGCCAUUAGUUGCUACGAAAGGGCACUCUAAUGGGACUGCCGGUGACAAACCGGAGGAAGGUGGGGAUGACGUCAAGUCCUCAUGGCCCUUAUAGUGGGGCUAGAAACGUCAUACAAUGGCCGGUACAAAGGGUAGCCAAGCCGCGAGGUGGAGCCAAUCCCAUAAAGCCGGUCGUAGUCCGGAUCGCAGUCUGCAACUCGACUGCGUGAAGUCGGAAUCGCUAGUAAUCGUGGAUCAGC
rnacentral:rRNA from 1 species